UACAAAUUGAACAUGGCCAUGUACUACUUUUGCAAUUAAUGGUACAAUCUAUACAUAUUAAUUGUGUAUAGUUCAGUCAUUUCAAAGAAUGAUAAAACUAGCAAAGAAAAGCAGUAAAAAUCAGCAUCCAAGAGUCUUGGCUCUUGGAGCAAGAAGUGAGCUGUGAAGGUCAAUUUUGUGUCAAUUCCACUGGGCCACAGUGCCCAGAUAUUUGGUCUAACAUUAUUCUGGGUGUUUCUGUGAGGGUGUUUUAGAUAAGAUUAACAUUUAAAUGAGUGGACUUUGAGUAAAACACAUUGCCCCCCAUAAUGUGUCUGAGCCUUAUCCAAUCAGUUGAAGGCCUGAAUAAAACAAAAAGAUGGGCCUCCUACAAGCAAGAGAGUAUUUUCCCACAGACUACCUUCGAACUUCAUAAAGAACACCAGCCUUCCUGGUUCUUUGGUAAACCACCUUUGGAUUUGAACUGGAGCAUCAGCCGUCCCAGGUCUCCAGCCGGCUAGCUCACCCUGCAGAUUUUGGACCUGCCAGACUCCACAAUCAGGUGAACCAAUUCCUUUAAGGGAAUUUUGAGUUACAUCAGCUUGAGUUCAAGCCCCAGUUCUGACCCAAUGCCGUCCAAUCAAAGUGAAGGUCAGGACUCUGGCUGAGAAUUCUGGGACAGAGACCCAUUCUCUUUCCUGGGAGCCAUCUUGCAGCCUCAGAGUGAAACCAACACCAUGGAAGACAGAGUGAAGAGAUGGCGACUUGGGGACAUCGACUGGCUGCAGGACCAAGCCUGGCCUGGCAUCUUUAUGGGUUUUUGAGCUCACCCUGCAGUGGCCAGGGCUUGCAGUGGGACACUCUCGGCAUAUACAGGAAUGGUGAGUCAGAGGUGGCGGGUACACUCCCUGCCCUCCCUUCUCUGCCUGGAACACAGAGGUGUCAGAUGGAAUUCCACCAGCUGUAUUGGACCACGAUGCAGUCUAGAGAAUGGAAGCGUGCUCUGAUGGAGGAGCCAACAAGCAGAAACACCUGAGUCCUUGCCGACACCACAGAGCUGCCACCAUAGCUAUGGACUUCCUACCUUCAGUCCAGGAGAAUCCAUGCCGAGCUUAAAACACAGCUAUUCCUGGUGUUUAUUACCAGCACCUGAAUGCUCCCAACUGAUGCAUCAUGUGAUAGCCACACUCCUCGUGCCCAUUAUGGCUGGACUCCUGCUGCCGCCAGCAGUGAUAUUAGUGAGCAGGUAACAGUUCCUGACACAGACAUUUACGCACUAGAUAUGCCUUAACUUAGUCUUCAGAAUUACCCCGUGAGGCAGAUACUGUUGUUAUUCCAUUUCACAGAUAAGGAAACUGAGGCACAGAGAUGUUAAGCCACUUGCCUAAGGUGGCACAGUUGUUGACAGCUGUCUGGCUCUGGCUGGCUGGCCCACACCUCCCCACUACAACACAUCAUCUUCUGCCUCAGGCCAAGCACUUUCCUGACAUCUUUGAGAAAGUCAUUCUGUUCCCCACAUGCUCUUUAGACUUUCUAGAAUGACAACUUUGAGAUUUCAUUUUGGAAGUGAAAUAAGCCCAUCAGGCUUGACAAAGAAAAGAAUAUGAUUUCCCAAUAAGCCUGUCUGAGGACAGAGUGCCCCUGUGUGACUUCAUGAAGCCUUUCAUUAGAAGAUGGGACGGAGGAUGGGAAGACAUUCCUCGGAACCUGAGAGAAGGCUCCGGAUUCCACAGAGCCUGACAGCUGAGGGGCACAGAAACUGUCUCUCAUGCUGUUUUACAAGAGCCAAUCCAGGGCAGGUGCUUCUGGGAUCAGAUGCAAAGCUUGUGCUUCAGUGGUGACAGUUCGGUGAGCGCUGGCACGCACUGUCCCACAUAUGGUAGAUGUUCC
rnacentral:lncRNA from 13 species